GACGAACGCUGGCGGCGUGCUUAACACAUGCAAGUCGAACGAUGUGGCGAACGGUUGAGUAAUACGGGGGUAACCUGCCCUCCUUUUUGGGAUAAGCCUUGGAAACGGGGUCUAAUACCGAAUAAAGGGGGAUGGGCUCCCGGCCUAUCGGCUGGUUGGUGGGGUGAUGGCCUCCCAAGGCGGUGACGGGUAGCCGGCCGGAGGGGGUGAACGGGCAGGUUGGGACGGAGAGACGGCCCAGACAGCUACGAGAGGCAGCAGUGGGGGAUAGUGCACAAUGGGGGAGAGCCUGAUGCAGCGACGCGGCGUGGGGGAUGAAGGCGUUCGGGUUGUAAGACUCGUAAGCAAUCGAACGGGUAGGUGAAGAAGAAGCGCCGGCUAACUACGUGCCAGCAGCCGCGGUAAUAC
rnacentral:rRNA from 1 species